UUGAAAUAUUGCUGAAAGAAUGAAUGCAUGAAACAAUUAAUCUGUGAAAUCCAUAUAAACUUUGUGAGGUAAAUUGUUGCAUUGUGCAAAAUGUAACCUUAAGGAUUUUAUUCCACAUCCUACGUUGCACGAUCUCAGAUGAGCCUUGUAUUCCAUUUUUGCUAUUUUAAUAUCAAAAAAUGUGCAAGACCACCCCAUGUCAUCUAAGUGUUCACCAUAGAUAAGAGUUCCAAUUACUGCAGGACAUUUUGAACAUUAGUCUGCCUGUACUGAACCUGUAUUUUUCAGUAAUUAUGUGACAAAAGCAAGCAAAGGUUAAUUAACUUCACAUUUAAACCUAUAACCGAAGACUCACCGUACCCACUCUUUAAACUGGAUACCCUGUUCAAACCCAAGACUCUUGAGAUUUGGCCUCAACAUUUGUAGUUAUCAUAUCUGUGACAUCUUAUAGUAAUAAGAGGCCACAUUUAUUUGUAACCUUGUAUACAUCAUCUUAUAAAAGGUUGGUUCCGUUAAGGAACUUUACUGGGGUAUGUGGCUUCUUUUAUAAACAUUGCUUAACAAAAGAACCAUUUCAUUCAAAGAAGGGUGCUUUGCAUAUGAAAUAGAGUCUUCAGGUUUUGAAAAGGUUCUUAAUAUGGUGACAGAACUAAAAAUUAAUAGAUGGUUGGCUAACUAAUAGAAUACCAACAGAUCACAAAAAUCUGAACUUAGCCUGUACUAUUGUAUUUAGCAGAAGUUUUAAAAUUAGAAUCCAAUUGGUGAUUCACCAUUUUACAUUUUUAUGGUUAUCAUCAAAUAAUCUAAGUGGAGUAAAAGUUCUUUCUAGUAACUUCACAUGGAUGGUUGGUUUCGGUAUGGCUUCAUUCUGAAGAACCACUCUGUACCAUUAUUUUUAAGGGUUUACUUGUGUAUCAUUCGUAAAAACCAUCAGCUUAACGAACUACAAUACAAUGCAGAAGUCACUGUUAUUUUAUUCCAUUACAGAACCCUCCAUUAAAACUGCAUUUGUAAGCAUAUUGGGCAUAGGCACCUGCUGAAGAGGACAGUCUUCGGAGGGAUUUCUUUAAAAGGCGAGGGGCUACACUGAAGGGAGGAAGAUGGGUUAGCGUGUUCCACCAGUAUCCAUUCCAGUGGACAGAGAAAACAUCCCACGACAGAAGAAUAUUGCAAAGUGGACAUCUCUUGAAGAGCUCCCUAUGGACACACGCCCUCAUUUAAAAAUUUGAAGUAAUCGUAGUGGAGGGAGUGAAGACAAAACUGAGUGCCAUCAAGAACAACACUGCACAUCCUCUCUUUGACUUUCCAGCACUGAGGAUUUUUAGCCGAUGAAUUCUUAAGCAGAGGUCUGUCAAGAAACACUGCUGGGGCUCCUUUGGGGCUCCAAUGGCGAUGUGCCUUUAUAGUGCCUCACACUGACUGCUCCUCUCCCAAAGCUGACCUUUUUCCACUUGCUUGUAAUUCUUGUGCGUGUUUGAGAGGAGUUGCUGUUGUUGUUUGUUCUAAUAUCUCUAUAUUUAUUGAAAUUCUGUAAAACUUAAUUUUCCCUUGAAACAAAUCAAGCACUAUCUCCUGUACUGUAUAUGUUUUAUAUUCUGUAGCACCUUUGCAGUCUGUUUAUUUGUCUUUAAGUAACCUGUUCUGUGUUUUGUUUUUUUUUUUUUUGUCCUGGGGAUGCCAAACUGAAGCUCUUAAGAUAGCCGGACCCCCCGGGGGGUUAAGACGUUCAUCCUCUGAAAUGUAGAAAGCCUAAUCCCCCAGCUGCUGCUGCUGAUGUUUUGUCUGUCCCAGAAUUUGGAUGAAGGACUUUGUUUUUUUUUUGUUUGUGGCAUAAUAGACUGAGAUUCCAAACAACACACAAAUCAACAAGAACUCUUUCACUUUGAUCCUCCGCUUGGCCCUUCUGACCUAAUCUGAUUAAACAAAGAAGAAAGUUGGGAGCCUCUGAGCUGACCAUCCCCUCAAAGCCCAGUGCUGGUUCACCGGGUUAAUCUGAUUUUAAAUGUUAAAGCAGUGACUCUGAUUAGCCUCACCCCUUUAGGCCGCUGCUCUCCUGCUUUAAUUAACACCAUGCUGUGUGUCUGGAGUGCGCUGAGGGUGAACACUGGGUGACAUCACUUAAAGCUGAGCAAUGUGAGGCAGAGGACUCAUGGAAGUGGAGAGCUCUACUGGUUAGAACAGGCAGAAAGUAGAAAAAGCAAGGAACGCCUUCUGGAUAUGUUAAAGCCGUGGCCAUUAAGAGUGGCUAAAGUGAGGAUUACAAUGUGGUGGGAGCUGCUGGACACACGCAAGGGUCAAAAAAUGACCCACGUGGUGAGACGGUGCUUGUCUCUACAGAAAUUGGUGGAGUGAGUGAGUGAAUUAUGGCAAGUGUAAAUGAGUAAGUGAGUGAGUGAGUGAGCAAGCGUGUAAAUGAAUAAGUGACUGCUUAUCUGAGUUUGUGAAUAAGUGAGUGAGUGCACACGUGUCUGAGUGAGCGAGUGACUGUGUGAGUGAGUGAUUGAGCAAGUGUGUGAAAGAG